rnacentral:rRNA from 1 species
CAGAACGAACGCUGGCGGCAUGCCUAACACAUGCAAGUCGAACGAAGCCUUCGGGCUUAGUGGCGCACGGGUGCGUAACGCGUGGGAAUCUGCCUUGGGUUCGGAAUAACAGUUAGAAAUGACUGCUAAUACCGAAUGAUGUCUUCGGACCAAAGAUUUAUCGCCCAAGGAUGAGCCCGCGUCGGAUUAGCUAGUUGGUGAGGUAAAGGCUCACCAAGGCGACGAUCCGUAGCCGGUCUGAGAGGAUGAUCAGCCACACUGGGACUGAGACACGGCCCAGACUCCUACGGGAGGCAGCAGUGGGGAAUAUUGGACAAUGGGCGAAAGCCUGAUCCAGCAAUGCCGCGUGAGUGAUGAAGGCCUUAGGGUUGUAAAACUCUUUCGCCGGAGAAGAUAAUGACGGUAUCCGGAGAAGAAGCCCCGGCUAACUUCGUG